GUCGAACACGCCGGGCGCCGUAAAAAGCAACUCCCGGAGCGCCUGCCGGUUGGACUCCACGUUCUCGAGGUUGAUGCUGGAGAGGCGCUUACCGAUGGUGCCCGUCGACUCGUCGGAGGCCAGGAUGCCCUUGCCCGGCGUCGCGAGGUACUUGGCGGUCUUGACCAUCUCAUCUGCAAUACAAAAUUACAAAUACGUAGGCGUAAGCACAAAACGGUGUGUAUUGUGCUAUUGUGUAUACCACUAAUUAACUACAAAACUAUCAUUAAUUUCCUCCAUUACUCGAUCGAUCUACUAUAAUUUAUUUUUCAAAAUCAAUGUCUCUUUAAUCAAAGAUGGAACUGAAUUUUUCUUUCAACUUAAAAUUAUGUUUAAAACACAACAACUCAACAUGUAUUUUUGUAAAUUUUCUAAAAGAUAGCUCAUUUUUUGUUAAAAAGAUAGCUCAUUUUUUGUUAAAAAACGAAGCGUAGCGCCACUACACCGGAUGGUACAUGCUGCCUCAGUUUUUAUUUAUAUAAGGCCAGUCUCAACUCAAUGCAUAGUUUUAUGAAAGUUUCAUGAUUAUUAAAUUGUAUGCCAUAUCAGUAAUUUUACUUACUUGGCAAGACCAUAAUGAGGAGAGAGAGAAGGGAGAGUUUGAUCAGAUGUGAGAAGAUUUUCAUCCCUAUGACACUCAUCAAGCACAGUUACUAAGUUCUUAAUCUUGGUAACUAUGCAAUAAAACUAUGCGUUGAGAUUGGCCUAAGGUGCAUGCGCAUAUCAAAAUUCAAACUUUUCAAUCUUUGACCAAUAACUUGACAUCAAUUUUUUAUUUUUAUAAUGUAAAUUUUAUAUGGUUGGAUUCAUAAUCAAAUAUACUCUACAAUGAUUAUAAAUUGAUAACUAUAAAUAAUAUAAUAUAUGAUCAAUGAAUUGUAUUUGGAAGAUCGUGCUAAGUCAUACCAUGCCUUAUAAACAUAGAUGGAUGGAGUACUGUUGAGCAAAUUUGAAAUUACUUUGCAAUUGCACUACUGGAACUGCACAAAGAUUUUUUUUUAAAAAAAAUAAAUACUACACAAUUACACAAACGUGCACAUCAACAACUUUGCACCUUUGCAAGGGUAUGGAAAAGUAGACUGAGAUAUAGGUCAACAAGAACCUGCAUAUUUUCC
rnacentral:lncRNA from 1 species